CUUUUGUGACAGCUCAGGCAUCGCCAUGGCAACGCGCUGUGAUGCGAUCGGCCCUGAGUUAUGACCUCACUGCAGGACCGGGCAGUCCGGGCUGCUCUGGAGGAGGAACAAAAGCAGCUCCUGCUUCAACCCAAGUGGGCUCUGUGCUUCGAGACAGUGGGAUUUGUCCUGGAGCAGAGAGGAAGAAUAACAUCCCCCAGGAAAAACCGUGUAACAUGAGGAAGUAUGUUUCUUGGGGCGUUUCUCACCUCAUCAGAUGAAGUUGUCUAUAACAGUAAUGCCUUUAUCAGUGAUCAUCAUUUGGAGUCUCU
rnacentral:lncRNA from 1 species